rnacentral:rRNA from 1 species
AUUGAACGCUGGCGGAAUGCUUUACACAUGCAAGUCGAGCGGCAGCACGGGGGCAACCCUGGUGGCGAGCGGCGAACGGGUGAGUAAUACAUCGGAACAUGCCAGUCGUGGGGGAUAACACUUCGAAAGAAGUGCUAAUACCGCAUACGUCCUGAGGGAGAAGGCGGGGGAUCUUCGGACCUCGCGCGAUUGGAGUGGCCGAUGUCAGAUUAGCUAGUUGGUGGGGUAAAGGCCUACCAAGGCAACGAUCUGUAGCUGGUCUGAGAGGAUGAUCAGCCACACUGGGACUGAGACACGGCCCAGACUCCUACGGGAGGCAGCAGUGGGGAAUUUUGGACAAUGGGGGCAACCCUGAUUCAGCCAUUCCGCGUGAGUGAAGAAGGCCUUCGGGUUGUAAAGCUCUUUCGGCAGGAACGAAACGGCGAGCUCUAACAUAGCUUGCUAAUGACGGUACCUGAAGAAGAAGCACCGGCUAACUACGUGCCAGCCGCCGCCGUAAGAC